AAGGUAGCGAAAUUCCUUGUCGGGUAAGUUCCGACCUGCACGAAUGGUGCAACGACUUCCCCACUGUCUCGACCAGAAACUCAGCGAAAUUGUAUUGUCGGUGAAGAUACCGGCUACCCAUAGAAGGACGGAAAGACCCCGUGAACCUUUACUACAGCUUGAUAUUGUCUUUUGAUUCUACACGUGUAGGAUAGGUGGGAGACUAUGAAGCGGUCACGCCAGUGAUCGUGGAGUUAAUCUUGAAAUACCACCCUUGUAUUGUCGGAAGUCUAACUGUGAUCCGUUAUCCGGAUUCAGGACAGUGUCUGGUGGGUAGUUUGACUGGGGCGGUCCCCUCCAAAAAUGUAACGGAGGGGCUCAAUGGUUCCCUCAGCACGGUCGGUAAUCGUGCGCAGAGUGCAAACGCAUAAGGGAGCUUGACUGCGAGUCUGACGGGACGAGCAGGUGCGAAAGCAGGAGUUAGUGAUCCGGUGGUUCCGAGUGGAAGGGCCAUCGCUCAACGGAUAAAAGGUACUCCGGGGAUAACAGGCUGAUCUCCCCCAAGAGCUCAUAUCGACGGGGAGGUUUGGCACCUCGAUGUCGGCUCGUCGCAUCCUGGGGCUGGAGAAGGUCCCAAGGGUUGGGCUGUUCGCCCAUUAAAGCGGCACGCGAGCUGGGUUUAGAACGUCGUGAGACAGUUCGGUCCCUAUCCUCUAUGGGCGCAGGAAAUUUGAUGGAAGCUGUUCUUAGUACGAGAGGACCGGAACGGACGAACCUCUAGUGUACCUGUUGUCACAUCAGUGGCAUCGCAGGGUAGCUACGUUCGGCAGGGAUAAGCGCUGAAAGCAUAUAAGCGCGAAGCCCCUCCAAAGAUAAGAUUUCCCUUCCCGAUUUAUCGGGACUGAAGGCUACCAGUAGACUACUGGAUUGAUAGGCCAUAGAUGUAAGUACAGUAAUGUAUUUAGUCGAGUGGUACUAAUUAGCCGUGAGGCUUGAUCAAAUA
rnacentral:rRNA from 1 species